UAGGGAAUCUUCCGCAAUGGGCGAAAGCCUGACGGAGCAACGCCGCGUGAGUGAUGAAGGUCUUCGGAUCGUAAAACUCUGUUAUUAGGGAAGAACAAAUGUGUAAGUAACUAUGCACGUCUUGACGGUACCUAAUCAGAAAGCCACGGCUAACUACGUGCCAGCAGCCGCGGUAAUACGUAGGUGGCAAGCGUUAUCCGGAAUUAUUGGGCGUAAAGCGCGCGUAGGCGGUUUUUUAAGUCUGAUGUGAAAGCCCACGGCUCAACCGUGGAGGGUCAUUGGAAACUGGAAAACUUGAGUGCAGAAGAGGAAAGUGGAAUUCCAUGUGUAGCGGUGAAAUGCGCAGAGAUAUGGGGGAACACCAGUGGCGAAGGCGACUUUCUGGUCUGUAACUGACGCUGGUGUGCGAAAGCGUGGGGAUCAAACAGG
rnacentral:rRNA from 1 species